rnacentral:rRNA from 1 species
UACGUAGGGGGCAAGCGUUGUCCGGAAUCAUUGGGCGUAAAGAGCGUGUAGGCGGCCCGAUAAGUCCGCCGUGAAAGUCCAGGGCUCAACCCUGGAAUGCCGGUGGAAACUGUCGGGCUGGAGUCCGGAAGAGGCGAGUGGAAUUCCUGGUGUAGCGGUGAAAUGCGCAGAUAUCAGGAGGAACACCAAUGGCGAAGGCAGUUCACUGGCAGUCUCCUGACGCUGAGGCGCGAAAGCCAGGGGAGCGAACGGG